rnacentral:rRNA from 1 species
CCUACGGGGGGCUGCAGUGGGGGAUAUUGCACAAUGGGGGGAACCCUGAUGCAGCGACGCCGCGUGGGUGAAGGAGUGCUUCGGCAUGUAAAGCCCUAUCGGCAGGGAAGAAGCAAGACGGUACCUGACUAAGAAGCCCCGGCUAACUACGUGCCAGCAGCCCCGGUAAUACGUAGGGGGCGAGCGUUAUCCGGAUUCACUGGGUGUAAAGGGAGCGUAGACGGCCAUGCAAUCCAGGCGUGAAAGCCCGGGGCCCAACCCCGGGACUGCCCUUGGAACGGUGCGGCUAGAGUGCGGGAGGGGCAGGCGGAAUUCCUGGUGUGGCGGUGAAAUGCGUAGAUAUCAGGAGGAACACCGGCGGCGAAGGCGGCCUGCUGGACCGCGACUGACGUUGAGGCUCGAAAGCGUGGGGAGCGAACAGGAUUAGAUACCCCAGUAGUC